UACAGAGGUCUCAAGCGUUGUUCGGAUUCAUUGGGCGUAAAGGGUGCGUAGGCGGCGCGGUAAGUCGGGUGUGAAAUCUCGGAGCUUAACUCCGAAACUGCAUUCGAUACUGCCGUGCUUGAGGACUGGAGAGGAGACUGGAAUUUACGGUGUAGCGGUGAAAUGCGUAGAUAUCGUAAGGAAGACCAGUGGCGAAGGCGGGUCUCUGGACAGGUCCUGACGCUGAGGCACGAAGGCCAGGGGAGCAAACGGG
rnacentral:rRNA from 1 species